UACGUAGGGUGCAAGCGUUGUCCGGAAUUAUUGGGCGUAAAGAGCUCGUAGGCGGUUUGUCGCGUCUGCUGUGAAAACUCAGGGCUUAACCCUGAGCUUGCAGUGGGUACGGGCAGACUAGAGUGCGGUAGGGGAGACUGGAAUUCCUGGUGUAGCGGUGAAAUGCGCAGAUAUCAGGAGGGAACACCGGUGGGCGAAGGCGGGUCUGCUGGGC
rnacentral:rRNA from 1 species